AGAAUUGCAGCCGGGUGUUCAAUCCCCCUCCACACGUGCGGUGAGGGGGGGGAUUGAUCUGAGAAAUACCGGUGAACUUGAUCUGGAUAAUGCCAGCGAAAGGAUCUGCUUCUUGAAGACCC
rnacentral:ncRNA from 2 species